rnacentral:rRNA from 1 species
UACAGAGGUCUCAAGCGUUGUUCGGAUUCAUUGGGCGUAAAGGGUGCGUAGGUGGCGCUGUAAGUCGGGUGUGAAAUUUCGGAGCUUAACUCCGAAACUGCAUUCGAUACUGCGGUGCUUGAGGACUGGAGAGGAGACUGGAAUUUAUGGUGUAGCAGUGAAAUGCGUAGAGAUCAUAAGGAAGACCAGUGGCGAAGGCAGCCAACUAUUCUAUUCCUGACACUGAGGCAUGAAAGCGUGGGGAGCAAACCGG